GGGCGGUUAGCUCAGUUGGUUAGAGCGCCACGUUGACAUCGUGGAGGUCACAAGUUCGAGCCUUGUACCGCCCA
rnacentral:tRNA from 3 species